rnacentral:rRNA from 1 species
UACGGGGGGGGCAAGCGUUGUUCGGAAUUACUGGGCGUAAAGGGCUCGUAGGCGGCCAACUAAGUCAGACGUGAAAUCCCCAGGCUCAACCUAGGAACUGCGUCUGAUACUGGAUGGCUUGAAUCCGGGAGAGGGAUGCAGAAUUCCAGGUGUAGCGGUGAAAUGCGUAGAUAUCUGGAGGAAUACCGGUGGCGAAGGCGGCAUCCUGGACCGGCAUUGACGCUGAGGAGCGAAAGCCAGGGGAGCAAACGGG